AUUGAACGCUGGCGGCAUGCCUUACACAUGCAAGUCGAGCGGUAACAGGUCUUCGGAUGCUGACGAGUGGCGAACGGGCGAGUAAUACAUCGGAACGUGCCUAGUAGUGGGGGAUAACUACUCGAAAGAGUGGCUAAUACCGCAUGAGAUCUACGGAUGAAAGCAGGGGAUCGCAAGACCUUGUGCUACUAGAGCGGCCGAUGGCAGAUUAGGUAGUUGGUGGGAUAAAAGCUUACCAAGCCGACGAUCUGUAGCUGGUCUGAGAGGACGAUCAGCCACACUGGGACUGAGACACGGCCCAGACUCCUACGGGAGGCAGCAGUGGGGAAUUUUGGACAAUGGGCGCAAGCCUGAUCCAGCAAUGCCGCGUGCAGGAUGAAGGCCUUCGGGUUGUAAACUGCUUUUGUACGGAACGAAAAGCCCCGGGUUAAUACCCUGGGGUCAUGACGGUACCGUAAGGAUAAGCACCGGCUAACUACGUGCCAGCCGCCGCCGUAA
rnacentral:rRNA from 1 species